rnacentral:lncRNA from 1 species
UCAUUUCUGUGCCUCACAGGAUGGCACAAAGGACCUGGCCAGGAAAUUUUUUAGUAGAUGAAGGAAUAAGGAGAACCUGAUUUAUAUAGUUAAUCUAAUCUCUUAUUUCUGUAGUUAAUAUUUCCCACAUCCCUUUAAAUGACUGAAUAAACUAUCAAAUAAAGAUAUAUUUUUAAAUAUCCAUGGAUCUUUUAAAUCAAAAAUCCAGUUCAAUAAAUCCAAGGCCCUUAAUUAAUUUAAAAUUCCCAUGUUGGUUUUUUAAAAUAUUUUUUUAGUUGUUGAUGGACCUUUAUUUUAUGCAUUUAUUUAUUUGCGGUGCUGAGAACUGAACCCAGUGCCUCACACAUGUGAGGCAAGCACUCUACCACUGAGCCACAAUCCAGCCCCCCAUGAUGUUCUUAUUAAUGAAUGUUUGUAUCAUGCUACGCAUUUUUUUAAAGUUGAUCAUAUCAUUCAAGUAAUUGGAACAGUGUUGCAAAAGUAGCAGGUAGAGGUGACUGCUGACACAUGCUCCUAACAACUCCUGAGUCUCCUUGCUGCUCAAGUGCUAUACGGUCCUUGGAAGUUCUCAAGGAGGUAAAUGCUGUUACCUGGCCUAUCAAUUCUUGAGGGUGGGAAAAGUGAACUCGACCUGUUUCAGACUUUUUCCCUCUGCUUGAGUGUUUUCCAGAAGGUUCUACUCCCUAAUUUGCUCCUUCCAGAGGUCUUGUUCCCUGAUUCACUCCUUCCGGAAAGUCCUGUUCCUUAAUGACUCCUUCCAUCCAAAGUGAUUGUGCAUCCAACCUGAUCCUUUUCAUCCUUACUUUCUCUCCAACCACUGAACAUGCUACUUUACAGUGGUUCCUUCUUUGAAAUAAACAUGUUGGCCCUUCUCUUAAUAGUCACAGAUACCAGAACAUAAAUUUUUAAAUUACCAGAACACAAAAUAUAUAAUUCCUUUCAUAUCAGGUUGCAAAAUUUGUACUCUUUGUUUUCUUGCCCAUGAGUUAAACUUGCCUCGGUAUGGCAAGACUUUUUGAGUCUAUACAAUGCCCAUACCAGACCUCCUCCUAGGUACUUGGGGAAAGAAAAUGAAGAAGGCAAUCUAGUGGGGGACACAAUGACAAGGACAGGUAGAAGGAAUGAGGCUUUGAGGAGCUGUAGAAGGGACCUUUUUCCAUCUUGAAAAAAAAAUCCCUGUGUUCCUGUUGUGUCAUCUUCUGUGGAAGAUAGAACACACUCAACUGCCAAGAGACUACAGUACAGACGAUGUUUCACAAUCAAGAAGUUAGUAGCAGAAACAGGGGAAAUAACUUCUAAGCAGGAUGGGAAAAGGCAUGUGGUAGAAGACUGGCCUUCUAUGGGGUCUUAAAGAGUGACACCAUUGUCAAUCGGCAGUGCAGCAAGGAAUUUCCACCUAGAGAAAUGAGAGCAGCUGUAGUCUUGGAGGCUCAUGUGUCUGAGUUAAAUGGAGCUUAGGAGGAGACGGGAGGGUGAUGGCAAAUAUAGUGUGAAGAAUAGGUAGGGGUUUACAGCAUGCUUCCUGCUUGUGUUGGAUGCUUAGCCAAAGGAGUUUAGCCUUUAUUCAAAUAGAUCGUUUUGAAGUUUCUUGAGAAAUGUGGCUUAUGAAUCCUCUGAAGACACUGUUGCCAAAAUGAGCGAAGAGUGGAAGAAAGUAUAGCAAAUUAGACCAAUGGAGAAAAGAGACAUGAGAAAGACUAAUGAUGAAUGGGCAGGGAUUCGGAGCGUUUGCCUGGCUUUUCUAUUUAUUUCGAACCCUAUUUUAUUGUUUUGUGGUCUUGGUUGACUGACUGAUGAACGUAUCGAGGGUCACAAGCCAAACACCAUUCGGAGUGUCUUACAUGUCAUCUUUUCCUUGGUCACUUUAGUAAUUCAGUGAAUAGUAUCAGUAGUCAUAAUAAUUUUUGUUAAUAUGUCAGUAACCUUUGUACAGAUGAGGAAACUGAGGAAAGUUUCAAUAAGUGAGGAAAGUUGUGCAAUAAGUGAUAAAUUCAGCUCUGAAACCAAGCUGACUAACUGCAAGUCAGCCAACAUUCUUCCCCGAUGUGUGACACCUGUCCAUCAAUGUUCAGUCCAGUCCAUUUCACUGAGAGAAGUUGAUAGUUAUCCAUAUUAAUCCCAGAGUUUUGUCUUUCCUCAUCUGUAAAACAUGUAUUAUAGCACCUUCCUUCCACUUUCCACCUUAGAGGGUAUGAGGAUCAAAUUAUCAUGCACUGGAAGAUAUUUUUUAUACCCUAUAAUGCAUUGUAAAAAUAAAUCAUUUUUCCUAAAUCAUGUGUACACUUUAUUUUAUAAUCGACCU